rnacentral:tRNA from 1 species
GCUGGUUUGGCUCAGUAGGUAGAGUGUCAGUCUCUGAACUGAAGGGUCUUGGGUUCUAUUCCUGUGAAUGGCA